GUUUCCUUCGGGAAGCUAGUACAGUGGCGAACGGGUGAGUAACACGUAAGAACCUGCCCUGGGGACUGGGAUAACGUCGCGAAAGUGGCGCUAAUACCGGAUAAUAUCUACGGAUCAAAGGGGGCUUCGGCUCCCACCUGAGGAGGGGCUUGCGUCCCAUUAGCUUGCUGGUGAGGUAACGGCUCACCAAGGCUGCGAUGGGUAGCCGGCCUGAGAGGGUGUACGGCCACACUGGAACUUAGACACGGUCCAGACUCCUACGGGAGGCAGCAGUGGGGAAUAUUGGUCAAUGGGCGAAAGCCUGAACCAGCAAUGCCGUGUGAGCGAUGAAGCUUUUAGGAGUGUAAAGCUCUUUUAUGAGGGAAGAAACGUUUAUCAUCUAAUAAAUGGUACUCUUGACGGUACCUCAUGAAUAAGCCCCGGCUAACUCCGUGCCAGCAGCCGCGGUAAUACGGAGGGGGCAAGCGUUGUUCGGAAUUACUGGGCGUAAAGGGCGCGUAGGCGGCCUUGCAGGUCAGAUGUGAAAGCCCCAGGCUUAACCUGGGAAUUGCGUUUGAAACCGCAAGGCUUGAGGCUGGGAGAGGGAAGUGGAAUUCCUGGUGUAGCGGUGAAAUGCGUAGAUAUCAGGAGGAACACCGGUGGCGAAGGCGGCUUCCUGGACCAGUACUGACGCUGAGGCGCGAAAGCGUGGGGAGCGAACGGGAUUAGAUACCCCGGUAGUCCACGCUGUAAACGAUGAGCACUAGGUGUAGCGGGUAUCGACCCCUGCUGUGCCGCAGCAAACGCAUUAAGUGCUCCGCCUGGGGAGUACGUUCGCAAGAAUGAAACUCAAAGGAAUUGACGGGGCCCCGCACAAGCGGUGGAGUAUGUGGUUUAAUUCGAUGCCACGCGAAGAACCUUACCGGGGUUUGACAUAUAGGUGGUAGGAAUCCGAAAGGUGCCCGACCCUUCGGGGAGCCUAUACAGGUGCUGCAUGGCUGUCGUCAGCUCGUGUCGUGAGAUGUUGGGUUAAGUCCCGCAACGAGCGCAACCCCUACCCUUAGUUGCCAUCAGUUCGGCUGGGAACUCUAGGGGAACUGCCGGUAAUAAGCCGGAGGAAGGUGGGGAUGACGUCAAGUCCUCAUGGCCUUUAUAUCCCGGGCUACACACGUACUACAAUGGCUGGUACAAUGGGCUGCAAUAUCGUGAGGUGGAGCUAAUCUCAAAAAACCAGCCUCAAUUCGGAUUGGAGUCUGCAACUCGACUCCAUGAAGUUGGAAUCGCUAGUAAUCGCGGAUCAGCAUGCCGCGGUGAAUACGUUCCCGGGGCUUGUACACACCGCCCGUCACACCACGAAAGUUGGUUGCACUAGAAGUCACCAGGCUAACCCGCAAGGGAGGCAGGUGCCUAAGGUGUGAUUAAUGAUUGGGGUGAAGUCGUAACAAGGUA
rnacentral:rRNA from 1 species